UACAGGGGGUGCAAACGUUGCUCGGAAUCAUUGGGCGUAAAGCGCACGUAGGCGGUUCGUUAUGUCGGAUGUGAAAGCCCUUGGCUUAACCGAGGAAGUGCAUCCGAAACUGGCGAGCUAGAGUACUAAAGAGGAUCGCGGAAUUCCCGGUGUAGAGGUGAAAUUCGUAGAUAUCGGGAGGAACACCGGUGGCGAAGGCGGCGAUCUGGGUAGAUACUGACGCUGAGGUGCGAAAGCGUGGGGAGCAAACAGG
rnacentral:rRNA from 1 species